ACAGCUCAUGGCAACACCAGGUCCUUAACCCACUGAGAGAGGCUGGGGCUCAAACCCUAAUCCUCAGGAUACUAGUCAGAUUCUUAACCCACUGAGCCACAACAGGAACUCCUGUGUGUAUGUCUUACUUGAUCCUGAGAUUUCUGAUCAUUUGUACCAGGUUAACAGAAAGAGUACAGAGUCAGCCGCAAAAUAGCCUGAGUGCAAUAAGUGCAGAACAAUUGGAAAAUUUAAGUCAAAUAGAAAUUGAGUUAUUUUUAAUUUCAAAGACAGCCUGUGAUGGUCAACCUCUCACCUGGCAAAUGUUCUUUUAGGGAAAACAGAUUAAAAACGAACAUGUAGUUGUAGCUAACUUUGCAGGAGACCUCUGGGGCAAAUUGCCAGUGCUGUUAUGGAAUGUUUCUGGGAAAGGGGGCAGGGAAUACUUUUUGAAUCACCUUGCAGCCCAAACCAGUGUGAGGUCUCAGGCAUUCCUAUCUUCACACCACAGUAUUGCAACUCACUAUUUAUGGGGUGUUAGGCAAAUCACUUCCCUCAGCAUCCACCCUCUCGUUGGUGACAUGGCCAUAACAGCGAGUAUCUUUGUAGAGAGCUUAUGCAAAGUAAAUGAGAGAAAACAUGCAAUGAUGCCUGGCACAGAAUAAGUGCUCAACAAUAUUGGUCCCGCUUCCUCUUCGUUCUCAGAAGUUUUCAUUGUCACCUUCAAGGAUGUAGGAAGGCUCUUCCUCAAGGAAUUCUCCAGCAUCUGCAGCAUCUGGGCACCUUGCAAUAGGAACAUCGUGGGAGAUGUCUUAGCCUAGAGAGACAACCAAAUAAUAGCCAGAAAUGAGAAGAGCCAGAGGAGAUUCAGAAACAAGAGUAGUAAGUUCUCUGCUAAUUUCAAAUUCUAUGCUAAAUGCCAGAGCCCUCUUGAGUGUCUCCUUUGUGGUAUUAUCAUCCCUAAAGUCCUCCCCCAUCCCAAAGGAGGAUGAGAAAAGCAGAAAACGCAGGGCUUGCUUUCUGAAGCUCCAUCAGGACUUCUGACUCUACGAGGAAUAAGCUGUGUAAACCUGGGAAAGUGACCUAGCCUCUCUGUGCCUUGAUUUCCUCAAAGUAGACAGGGUAAUGUUACCAUCUGACUCAGAGAAUUUUUGUGAAGAUUAAAUGAGCUAAUACAUUAAAAGAGGACAUUACUGCUUAGAAAAGGAUCUGCCAUAUAGUAAGCAUUGAACAGAUAUUAUUUUUUUCCUGCCACCCUUCCUCUUCCUCACCCUCCACUUCCUCCCCAUCCUCUUUUCUCCCUCCUCCUUCUCCCCACUUGGGUUAAAGUGCUAUAUAUUGCAUGGUUAUGUUUUUUCCACUUUUGUCCUUUUAGGGCUGCAUGCAAGGCAUCAUGGAAGUUCCCAGGCUAGAGGUCGAAUCAGAGAUGCAGGCAGCAGUCUAUGCCACAGACACAGCAAUACCAGAUCCGAACCAUGUCUGCAACCUACACUGUAGCUAAUUGUAUCGCCAGAUCCUUAACCCACCGAGCAGGGCCAGGGAUUGCACCCACGUCAACAUGGAUACCAGUUGGGCUCAUUUCUGCUGAGCUACAGCAGGAACUCCUAUUGCAUGAUAUUUUGAUGCCAUCUUUUGCAUAUAGGGCACUUUGACAUGGUUUAAACCACAAACAGUUAAAUCUUGCUUAUCUGUUUAAGUGCCAAGUCAUAUUUCAAGCUGCUACUCUCACCUUAUCACGGAGCCUCACCUUUCUACCCCAUCCCUAAGACUCACCUUUGGAUCUAUAGUACAUAUUGUCUAAUUAUUAGGUGGUGUAAAAAUAGCAUUUGUACAUAUUUGACUCACUGCAUCGAAUUGGGAUUGCCAAAAUAGCCCAUAAAAUCCUAUCGACUUGAAAAAAGAAGAGAAGAGGCUGUGUCACAGUGUUCUGAUUUGGAACUGUGAUUUGGAAGGAGGGCAAAGUUACUUUGUAAUGACGACUCCAAAGAGGUGUUUUGAGAAGAUUCUGUGUUAAAGCCUGCCAUGCAUAGGAGUUCCUGUUGUGGCACAGUGGGUGAAGGACCUGCUGUUGUCUGUGUGAGGAUGAGGGUUCGAUCCCAGCCUCGCUCAGUGAGUUAAGGAUCUGGUGUUGCUGCAAGCUAUGAUGUAGUUUGCAGAUGUGGCUCAGAUCCUGCAUUGCUAUGGCUGGAGCAAAGGCCUGCAAAUGCAGCUCUGAUUUGACCCCUAGCCCAGGUACUUCCAUAUGCCAUGGGUGCCGCCCUAAAAAGAAAGAAAAGAAAAGAAAUAAAAUAAAAACCCGGCCAUGCCGGAGAUGCUAAACUCCAGGACUGGUAAACUUUGUGUUUUAGAGCAGCAAAGAUACUUCUGUUUCAGGCCAAGGUAUAGUAAUAGGAUCUAGAUUACUUGCCUUCCCACUUACAACAAUGACAAAACGAACCAAAGUAAAUGAAACAACAGUUUUCCCAUGUUGGACAUCAGGCAGCAGAGUCAUAUGAUCCCUGAGAACAGAGAAAUGGGCAAUGUAGCACUUGAGAUGGAAUCAACUUAUUGUUUGAAGGCUGCAGCUCAGGGAAAUGAAAAUUGACCAGAUCAUGGGAGCUCACUAACUUGUGCAUAAAGAGACUGGAGUUUGGGGAGACCAGGGUGGAGAUUCAGAGAGAGAGGCACAGGGAGAACUGGAGAAUUCUUGGGGAAGACCAAUCUCCUAAAUUCUUUGGUUCAGAUUGAUCUCUCUAAGGGGAAACCACCUCAGCCUCUCGCCUAUUGAAAGAAUCACUGGAAAGGAGUAGAUGGGGAAAUUGCUGUUGCUCACACAAGACUGAGAAUAAUUUGUGUUCUCAUGAGCUGGAAUGGAAGGACCUCAUAACAUAGGGCUUUGGGUAAGAUGCUCAGGCUUAGCAGGGGGUGAAAUUCAGCCUUGUCUGUUCUAGAGCCACCCUAACACUUGUUACAAGCAAGUUUUGAAAUAAUCCACUUGAUUCCAAUAACUUAGCCAUGGACCAGAACUUAUAUGUAAGUAUAAAAAAAUCCAUCAAUGAAUAGUAAAUAGUUCAAAUGGUCUACUCGUCAAUAAAAAUGCUAACCACAUAAAACCCCAAGAAAAUAGAAAAACACACAUCAGUAAAAUGAGACCCAAGAGAGACAUUUGCACACCUAUUGUGGAACAUUUUCUUAUUGCAAUAGCACCUCUCCCCCUAGUGCAGUAAUCCUUGCAAAUAAAGUUUCUCCUUAUCUAAAAAAGAAAAAGGGAGUGUCCUAGUUGCUCAGUUUUUUAAGGGUGAAGUAUUGUCACUGCUGUGGCUCAGGUCACUGUUGUAGGGCAGUUUAGAUCCCUGGCCUGGGAACUUCAGCAACCUGCAAGUACACCUAAAAAACAUAUUUUUUAAUAAAAAUAAAAGUAGGUAAAUGUGGAGAUGUUGGAACCUGUAGACAAGGAAUGUUAAAUAGUUAUAAACUUCCACCUCAUAUGUAAGAAGAUGGAGGAACACACGAGCAUAAUGACGAGAAAUAUGGAAGAUAUAAAGAAAAUGCACAUCGAGGUUGUAGAAAAGAAAAAAUACAUCUGCGAAAAAUACACUGGAUGUGCUUAACAGUAUGUAAGACAUGGCAAAAGGAAGGAAGCUAGACACAGCCAUCAAAACUAUCUGUAAUGAAGCAUGGAGAGAAAAAAAAAGUGGAAGACACAUCCUUGCUAAUAUGUCACCAUCUUUCCCCAAAACUAAUCUAUAGAUUCAAGCUAGUAAUAAAACACCCCUAGUUUCAUUUGUAGAAAGUCAAGCUGAUUCUAAAAUCUACAUGAUUUCAAGGCUCACUGGAAAGAUAGAGUGAUCAUGGGCUCGGCAUAAAGGACAGACAAAUAAAUCGAUGAAAUACAAUAGAGAGCCCAGAAGUAGGUGGGCAUUUGCGGUCAACUGAUUUUCAACAAAGAUGCCUAGACAAGCACAUGGAAAUGGAAGAGUCUUUUCAACAAAUGAUUUUGAAGUUUUAAACGGUCAGGGGGACUUCUUGGUAGACAAAAUGUACAUGUUGGAAGCAAGUCCCUGUCAUCUGUACUUAUUUGCCUCUCUGCUACUUUCAGCUCCCCAGGUCAUCGACCUAAAAUAGGUCCUCAUUCCACUUUAGAAGUGUUUCUUGAAUUUGACAAAGAAAGAAAAAACAUCAGCCCCUAAAACAUAGCCCUGUCACAGAACAGCAACAUCAUGCAAGGUCACAAUCAUGCUUGAACACAGCCAAAAACAAGGAGACUGUCUCUUAUGCAAAUCUGGCCAAAUACUCCUCUCUCCAGUUAACAAGCAGCUGCUAUAUCUUUGCCUCUACUCUUCUCCUUCCGCUCCAUAGAUGAAAGGAUUAAACAGAAGUGCAAGGCUUCCUGGCAGUAUCCAAGCCAGACCAAACCCUGGUGUCCUUGAACCCUCCCCCAAAUCGCCUACCAGGCAGGUCCCUCCCAACACACUCUUACUGAGAGGCGCUGCAUUUCCCUGGCGGUGUGCUGUCUCUCUCAUUGCAAGAGACAGUAAACCCGACUUUGGUGGAUUACAGGCGUGUUCCAAGGAUCUUUGGCUACAAGUCUUUGCCAAAAUUAGGUGUUCAGCCCUAGGGCAUCAGUUCCGACUCUGCUCUCUGUUUGCUUUGACUUCCCAGGACUCAGGGAUUCUUCCUUUUCAGCUUAACUGCUCAGGACUACUGGCUCUUCAGGAUGGUUGUAAAAGAUUUAGAUUUGCAGAAAUGCAGCCAUUAUUAGUUUCUUUCUAUGGAAAAACAUGUCAAGCGUACAAAGACUUCACUCCCUAGAUUUUUGGAUCCUGGUGCUUUAACAUGUUGUGCAAUGUGUGGACUGGUGAAUGUCCCAAGUUUUCCCUGUGGGUGUCUCCCUGUCUCCUUCCCAGAACCUUGUCAAUCACUGGAAGAGAAGAGCAGAUGCUAUUUUUUUUUUUU
rnacentral:lncRNA from 1 species